GACGAAGGGGGCUAGCGUUGUUCGGAAUUACUGGGCGUAAAGCGCGUGUAGGCGGUUGUUCAAGUCAGGUGUGAAAGCCUUGAGCUCAACUCAAGAAAUGCACUUGAUACUGGAUGACUAGAGGACCGGAGAGGAUAGUGGAAUUCCCAGUGUAGUGGUGAAAUACGUAGAGAUUGGGAAGAACACCAGUGGCGAAGGCGGCUAUCUGGACGGUUACUGACGCUAAAGACGGCGAAAGCGUGGGGAGCAAACAGG
rnacentral:rRNA from 1 species